AUUGAACGCUGGCGGCAUGCCUUACACAUGCAAGUCGAACGGUAACGGGCCUUCGGGUGCCGACGAGUGGCGAACGGGUGCGUAAUACAUCGGAACGUGCCCGAUCGUGGGGGAUAACGAGGCGAAAGCUUUGCUAAUACCGCAUACGAUCAACGGAUGAAAGCAGGGGACCGCAAGGCCUUGCGCGGACGGAGCGGCCGAUGGCAGAUUAGGUAGUUGGUGGGAUAAAAGCUUACCAAGCCGACGAUCUGUAGCUGGUCUGAGAGGAUGAUCAGCCACACUGGGACUGAGACACGGCCCAGACUCCUACGGGAGGCAGCAGUGGGGAAUUUUGGACAAUGGGCGCAAGCCUGAUCCAGCCAUGCCGCGUGCAGGAUGAAGGCCUUCGGGUUGUAAACUGCUUUUGUACGGAACGAAAAGCCUUCUUUUAAUACAGGAGGGUCAUGACGGUACCGUAAGAAUAAGCACCGGCUAACUACGUG
rnacentral:rRNA from 1 species